GUGGUAUAUAGCUCAGUGGUAGAGCGCACGCUUUGCAUGUGUGAGGCCCCGGGUUCGAUCCCCGGUAACUCCA